CUCAGCUAGAUUAAUGCAUGGCUCCGUCCACGUAUUGACCUUUAUACACCACGCGGGAGGCGCGCGUGUCUUGAUAGUAUUCGUCAUUCACGUGGGCGUAAUAAAGUUUCAAAAUGCUUCUUUCAAAAUGUCUUUUUGGGUGGGCAAAUUAAACUAAAACUUAGGACCAUACUUUAUACAUUGCAGAGUAGCUGUAUAUCAAAUCAAUUUUAAAUUUUGCGCCAAAAUCCGAACGAGUUAAUAUAUUAUUAUGAUUUAUGAUUAUGAUUAGAGUUACGCGUAUUACUGUCAAAUGGCUCUUGUCAAACAGCAGAUAAUAGCAAGAUGUAGCGUCUGUAAAUUCACUUGCGUCUCACUAAUAAAUACACGAAAUAUUGG